GGCUCUGAUGAGAGGAGAGUCCGUCUGGCAAGGAAAGAACAGCUGAUGGGUUUGAAUUCUGCAUCCUGAAACAAUCCAAGCAUUUAAGGUCAAUGACGCUUGAUGGAGAUUGACUAAGUGUUUGUGAGCAUGAAACACGUAAGGCUGAGGACACAAUCAACAUUUCUACUCUUUGUUGAACAACCUGGUGGAAGAUUACCUUUAUUCUGAGUGCCUGCUCCAUUGAUAUUUUCUGUAGAUGGAGACUGCCCGUAGAGCCUGGGAAAACUCAGUUUGCUAGAGCAGAAUUCACCAGCAGGUCCGGGCUCAGGAAUUCAGCCACCGUCUAGCUUGGGAGCCUCCACCGGGGUCAACUACAGCUCAUUUGGAGAUGUGUCAAUGCCACCCAUGGCCAUUGCUUCAGUUGCACCAUCUGCCUCCAUGUCAGGUUCCAGGUGUACAUGCGGCCGAGUCUUUCUCAGCCCAGUGCCAUGGUACUGACCAGUGAUACAGGCCUCCAGCCUCCAUAUAACCCUUUCCCUGGCAUGCAAACACUGGAAAUGGUCACAACCCAGGCCACGUCCCUUUUAUCAGCCCCUGAAUGGAAACCAGCAGCUGGUGUAUGAAAGUCUGUAUGAAAGUCACCUUAAUCAGGCCUCCCAGAUGAUGGACUCCCAGCUC